GCCGCCGUAGCUCAGUGGUAGAGCAUCGGAUGCGCUAUUCGAAGGCCGCAGGUUUGGGCCCUGCCGGCGACA